rnacentral:lncRNA from 1 species
CUCCUCUCUCCGCUCUGAGACCGGAAUGUGAAAGCCCCGUUCCAAAUCGUUCCUUUCACCGUCCCCCGAAACAGCUCCCUUCUGCACAGCUCCAAAGUGCCUCGUGUCUCUCCAUGAGACAUACUUUAUGUGCCUAUGUUUUAACUGUACAAAUGUAACUCCUUAUGGUAAAACCACCUUCGGGGGGAUUCUGAUCUACAGGUCGUUCAGUUAAGUAAGUGAAAGAGAACAUUGGUGUCCAUUCCAGAUGUAAAAUACCGGCCUAUAGGCAUCCUGUUCAGGGACCCAUCUGGCACCGGGCCCGACAGGAAGGUGGGGACGGUCAGCGGAGGCUCUCUCGGACAACUGGGCAGCGGCCACUGAAGGUCCAGCUGUUCUGGGGCUGCUCCUGCAGCAUCCAGGACCCCCGAAUGAUCUACCUAAGGGAGCGGGACGAGGGACAAGCUUGGGCUUUGUGGGGCGUUUCCAUGAUCAAUAACGUAGUUCCUCUUGGAAUUCUCGCCGUGCUACAGGAACCGUUACGUCGAACACCUUCCCGUCAGCAGCCGUGAACGGGCUGACCCACGGCAGAACGGAAGUGACCAGCAGCUCCCGUGAGCUGAAUUCACCGUGUUUUUGACAAAUGACCGGGAAGCGACAAGUCCCAAAUGUUUCCUCAGUUUCCAGGAGCGGCUGUCUUGGGAACGGACGACCUCGUCCUGGGAGAGCCACUUGGGAGUCCCUGCCCGGCCGUGUCGCCUGCUCUCCUGACCCUCCGUCACCUGCCUCUUCUCUGGGCUUCUUCGCUUUCUCCCUCACUCCCCAAGUUUCAGAAGAUGAUGCUGUUGAAGAUCAGUGGAAAAUGGCCAGGGAAACCCGCAACGCCAACCACACCGUCCCUGGUCACACACAAAGGCAACAUCAUCUACCUACUCGGGCUCCUGGUUCUCAGCUUUUCAUGAAUUGA